UACGGAGGGGGUUAGCGUUGUUCGGAAUUACUGGGCGUAAAGGGCGCGUAGGCGGUCCUUUAAGUUAGGCGUGAAAGCCCCGGGCUCAACCUGGGAACUGCGCUUAAUACUGAGGGACUAGAAAACGGAAGAGGGUAGUGGAAUUCCCAGUGUAGAGGUGAAAUUCGUAGAUAUUGGGAAGAACACCAGUGGCGAAAGCGGCUACCUGGUCCGAUUUUGACGCUGAGGCGCGAAAGCGUGGGGAGCAAACAGG
rnacentral:rRNA from 1 species